GCCGCCACCGCCACCGCCACCACCCAAUCCAUUCUCUCCCCACCGCCUCCCGAUUCAACCUCCCACCCACUGCCGACCUCGCCGUCCUCCUCACCCACCGCCGCCGACCUCGUCCCUCCCUCCCCUCACCAUCUCUCCCUCGUCUCUCCCUCUCCCCCACACCACUCCUCGCCUUCUACCUCAGCCGGAUGGGCCAGACGCUGCGCCUCGUCCGCCCGCCCGUGCUCUGGGUCGUCGUCGAGGCCGGCAAGCCCUCCUUGGAGGCCGCCCUCGCGUUGCGCCGCACCGCCGUCAUGCACCGCUACGUCGGCUGCUGCGACGGCCUCAAUGCCUCCCCCGCAGUCGACUUCCACCCGCACCACCUCAACACCAGCCUCGAGGUCGUCGAGAAGCACCUCCUCGAUGGCGUCGUCUACUUCGCCGACGAGGAGGGCGUCUACUCCCAGCCGCUCAAGAAUCCCCCCACUCCACCCCUGACGCCACUCCACCCCCGCCCCUGCCCCCUCCGCCGCAUGAGCCGGGCCGCCUCCCAGCCCCACCGGCGUCUGCAGUCAUGGGAGCCUAGCAGAGCGUCAAUGCCGGCAAAGCGAAGGUGGAUUUGCACGUCGACCUCACCCACAUCCUCUGCGAGGCGCUCCUGCUGCCGCCCAUGAGGUCCUCGGCCUUUUGCCCCCACGACCGAUUGGUCGGUUUUGUUGCGGUUGCGCACCUUGGAAUUACCGACCGUGUUGUUUUCCUGGCCCGUUUCCUUUCAGCAGCUCCAGCGCCACCAUCUCUCAAAUCAUUGGAAGGAUCUCCCUCAAACACCCAAGCCUAUUUGGGAGGAGCGAGAAGUUGGACGUGAUUUUGGAUAAGGGUGUCAAUGACUCUAAUGUUGUUGUUGCCUUUAGACGCCCAAUGCCCGAAUGGUUAUCGUAGUAGUCGUUUGUCAUUCAGGUCUGCAUUCUGUCUGAUUGUAUCUUGGCUUCUUAAUUGAGCCUUCUGUCUGAAAUUGAAUAUAUAUGCUGCAGUGCUAUAGCAUAAACAUGGUAUAGUGUUUUAAACUAUUGCUAAGCAAUUUAUACUCCAUUAAUCUUGUUAACAGUACUCAUUUCUCAUUUUCAUUGGUAUUCUAAUUCUUGCAGCAAAUCUUGCAUCAAUUAGGGAUUCUUCAACUGAACUUCUCUUUCAUUGUACCACCAAAUACUGAAGUUUUGCUAUGUGUUUUUGUCUAUAUAGAAUUGCAUUCAUUGCCUCUUCUUUUAGUAGUUACAUGGCUUGAGGUCUUUGUAUUCUUUUGAAUAGGAUGUACUAUUCUAUGCAGAAGAUCUGAUUUGCACAAACAUAGUUAUCUGCAUGUGCUUCCUGACUUGGUAUUUGUUAUAUCUUGUUGGUUGAAUGUAUGGUGGUGCCAGUACAGUGGUAGUAUAUUUAGGUUGGUGUGUUGCUGUGAGGUUAAUCCCUUCGGAAACAUUCUUUGAGAAUUUUGUAAUUGGGUGUUGAUAUUGCACAAGUUCUAUUGUAUGUGAGUUCCUUUUGUUGCUGCAAAGCAUUGAUACAAUAUGUCAUUUGCAAGGAGCUCGCUCUGCAUCCGAGUCUCAGUCAUCCUGCACAGUAAGGAGCCGGACCAAGGGAGCAAGCAGCGCUGCUGGUUCCUUGAGACAUGUGCAUGUGUGGAGUAAUUUUUCUUAGAGUAUUUAACAAGAUUGAACUAUACAUGUGUGGAGUAAUUUUGCUUGGAGUAUUUAACAAGAUUCAAUAAGAUUUAAUUUACUUUUCCAGUUAAUUAAAUGGACAUCUAGGAUUAGUUAGAAAAUCAUGAAUUAUUUGCAGAAAUCCAUAGAAGUAUUGUACUCCAAUGUGCAUUACUUACAUAAACAAGCAAGCUUAUUUUCUGACUUGUAUAUUCUGAAACAGAAAAAGCUUAGUUAACUUCUGUUAAUUUUCAGUAAUAUUCAGUGGAGUAUUUAUUGUAAAUUUUGCAGAUCACAGUAAUUUAACUUGCUGUUAACUGUUGUAGCAUUAGGAGUAGUUUUACCACAGUACUGCUUGAACAGGGUGAAUGGAGGGUGAGGAAGUUUUACUGCAGAGUAGGAUUGCACAGGGAGUAGUUGGCAGUAGUAGAUGUUGAUGAUCAUAGCCAGGAGUAGUUUUUCCUUUGGUGAUCAUCCAAAAAUGUGAUGCACUAUUGUACUUUGAGUGAAAAUGGAAUGGUGUGAUCCUACACAACUUACUUUGAGUGAAUGUUGAGUACUGUAUGCACUUGUAGUAGAUGUUGAGUACUGUAUGCACUUGUGUAGUAGAUAUUUUAUUGACUAGAUAUAUACGUGUAGACGAUUGAUUAGUGGUUUUAGCCCCUAGCCAUCUUGUCUUGCCGUUUUUGGUGAGCUGGUGGCUUGGGGCUAAAACCACUGUUUAUGGUCAUCGGUGAUGGUCAUAUUAGCUAUGAGAUGUGAGGGAAAUACUGUAACCUCAAAUGUGUGUCAUCAUGUUACUGUUGUGACCCUUCAUGUUAUUUCUGUGCUGAGAUUGUGAGAUUCUUAUAGGACCAUAAAGUUCAUUCUCUUUCAGUCUAUCACAUGUGUUUUGUACCAACAUCAUGAUUAUGCACCAAACAUAUUACCGUUAGUGGUUCAUUCUAUUUGAUAUCAUCAACUUUAUUAUCACCUGCCAUAAGGACGAUCUGUACUAUAUUGUUUACAGAGAUAACCUAGUAAGAAAACAACACUGCAUCUCAGACUCAACUGACCAUUGUUAUGUUCUAUUGCAUGGUUUUGUAAAUAGCAUCUAAGAUGAAUCACACAGUGCAUUUGAAUUGGCCCUGCGUAAUGUAUUUUUGAAGUUUUAUCAUUUGUUUUGAAAGUUCUACUGUUUCUUGUAUUGAUAAAUAUACGCAACGGGGUUGUGAUUUGCGCUUGCAAGCUGUUGUUUUAUCCAGGCAAUCCUGAUUCGCCAUUUAUUUGGUGUUUUUUUUCUGGCUUUCAUUUGUCGUCUAUAGUGGUAAGGACUGGCAUCGUGCAGUAACAAUGGUGGUUUUAGUUUGUUGCCUGGAUUCAUUUUGAUUUCUGCUGGGUGUUCCUGUUGCUGGCUCCAGGAGUUCGGGUGGUAACGCUUCUCUCUGCCGGGUGUUAUUACUCUGGUGGCCACCAUUCCCCUCCCCUGGUUUAGCAGCAAUAGCAGUUUUCAAAGGUUGUAGGGAAGAUCAAAGACACCAUCUCAGCCCUGGCAGUGGAAAUAGUGGACGAUGAUAACAAUGAAGUCACGGCGUGAAGCCCUCCUGAAGUGCCUCGAGACUGCUGCUCGGCGCUACAGGAUACCGUGGAUGCAGACGACCAUCGACAUCCUGGGGCGGCAUGCAUACGACAGCAUGAGGCGGUUCACGGCCCGACAGCGAGAGGCGGUGGAGAAGCUGUGGAACUUGAUCAAGGAGCAGCAGAUCCGGCGCAAGCACGACAAGUCGACAAGCAGGAAGCUGGACGUGAACGCCUUUGAGCGGCCCCAGGAGAAGUCUAUGCAAAAAGGGUGAGGAUGACAAGGUGAAGAUGAAGUGCUGUUUUGGUCAUGCUCAAGAACACAGGUAAGAAGAAGAGGAAGAGGAGGUCCUGAACAUUUCUCCCGCACAUCGUAGAUACCACCACCGCGGCCUUGUAGGAAUUAAGCUGGUGCCGUGCCACCCUUGUGUAUCUGUUUUUGAUUGUGUGUGCAAGUUGGACGUGCAUACGUGUAUUUGCUCUUGUGUGUAUUUGCUCUUGUGUGUAUUUGACUGGAUGAUCUCUGGAUUUGAUCAGUUAAUUGACAUAUU